AGUGAACGCUGGCUGUAGGCCUAACACAUGCAAGUCGAACGGCAGCACAGUAAGAGCUUGCUCUUACGGGUGGCGAGUGGCGGACGGGUGAGGAAUACAUCGGAAUCUACUUUUUCGUGGGGGAUAACGUAGGGAAACUUACGCUAAUACCGCAUACAACCUACGGGUGAAAGCAGGGGAUCUUCGGACCUUGCGCGAUUGAAUGAGCCGAUGUCGGAUUAGCUAGUUGGCGGGGUAAAGGCCCACCAAGGCGACGAUCCGUAGCUGGUCUGAGAGGAUGAUCAGCCACACUGGAACUGAGACACGGUCCAGACUCCUACGGGAGGCAGCAGUGGGGAAUAUUGGACAAUGGGCGCAAGCCUGAUCCAGCCAUACCGCGUGGGUGAAGAAGGCCUUCGGGUUGUAAAGCCCUUUUGUUGGGAAAGAAAAGCAGCAGGUUAAUACCCCGCUGUUCUGACGGUACCCAAAGAAUAAGCACCGGCUAACUUCGUG
rnacentral:rRNA from 1 species